UAUAGCAGGGUGCACCAAUCCCAUUAUCUAAAUUCAAAACUAACCAUGUCAAACUUGAGAGUUGGGUGCCAGGGGAAGAAGAUAAGCGGGAGUCUCCAUCCUCGAACUUUCUCGGGAUUAAUUUUGAUGGUACUGUGAUUGAUGGUGAUAGUAGAGAUAGUAUAAGAUUCGUGAUUAGAUUCUAGACUCGUUAUUGCUUCGAAAGUUGGAUCUUUAAUAUUGCAGUUUUUGGAGUUUAGUCAAGGUAUCAGUUAUGCAAGGUUGGUUCUAAAGACUGAUCUUAUUUGUAUUGAGGACGAUCAGCCUAUAGUGAUUGGGUAGACAGGGAGAUCGUCUGAGAUAUGUGCAUACUUGGAGGAUAGCAAGGAAUUGUGUAAUCCUGUAUGCC
rnacentral:lncRNA from 1 species